UACGAAGGGGGCUAGCGUUGCUCGGAAUCACUGGGCGUAAAGGGCGCGUAGGCGGCGUUUUUAAGUCGGGGGUGAAAGCCUGUGGCUCAACCACAGAAUGGCCUUCGAUACUGGGACGCUUGAGUAUGGUAGAGGUUGGUGGAACUGCGAGUGUAGAGGUGAAAAUUCGUAGAUAUUCGCAGGAACACCAGUGGCGAAGGCGGCUUACUGGUCCAUUACUGACGCUGAGGCGCGACAGCGUGGGGGAGCAAACAGG
rnacentral:rRNA from 1 species